ensembl:lncRNA
CCCGCUGCCGUCUGUCCGCCUCAGCCUCGCGCGCCUAGAGGCGGCCGGUCUCUGGGCUACAAUGAAAAGAGGAAACAGAUACUAGGAUAUUUUUUAAGACAGCUGUUUGAUUUCUUCUCAAAAUCACUGCUGCCUUCUGAGCUUUCCUCUUGCUCCUGUGAGUAAGGGGAGGAGUCUGUUUUAUACCUGCAUGUGCCAGAUGUGAGAACUGUGUGUCAUCGUGAUAUCAUGCCUAUUAACCCAAGGUUAGUUUUCAUUCCCACUGAAUGAAGAGUUCUUUGCUUAUUGUGUGUGUGUAUGUGAACACUUGUGGGAGUGUGCAUGUGAAUACAUGCUUGCACAUGUUCGCUCAUUCAGUAUAGGUCAGAGGACAACAUUGGGAGCCAGUUCUUUCCUUAUACAUGUGGCUUCUGGGGAUCAAACUUAGCUCACGAGCCUUAGCGACAAGUAUUCUUGUAUGCUGAGCCAUCUCACUGGCUCUAAGCAUAUUGGUUUUUUUGUUUGUUUAGUUUUGUUUUUUCUUUUUUUGUUCUUUAAGACUUAUUUAUUUUAUGUAUGUGAGUAUACUGUUGUUGCCUUCAGACACACCAAAAGAGGGCAUCGGAUUCCAUUACAGAUGGUUGUGAGCCACCAUGUGGUUGCUGGGAAUUGAACUCAGGACCUCUAGAAGAGCAGUCAGUGCUCUUAACCACUGAGCCAUCUCUCCAGCCCAAAAGUAACUUUUAUUAGCCAGAUGUAAUUGUUAUUUUGGUGGUUUACUGGUGAAUAAACUCACCCUUUCUAGCUCUUUCUGAACACUGGCUGGCUGAUUUAAUUCAGCUGUUCUGGUCCAAACUUUUCUCUAAACUGACUGAUUUAAACUGGCUUUUCUUGGCGUCUGACUGAAUUGCUCUGCUUGGUCUCAAACUAGCUGUUCUAAUCUUCUGGUUCCUUCUCAUUUUCUGGCUUGUUCUGUCUUUACCUGCAACCUGUCUCUGUAAAACUGUCCUCCUCCCAGCCUCCUAUUGCCUCUCUUCCUGGUCUGUUUCUUUAAGUUGCCUCUCCUGUGCUGCUCUUGUGAGUGUUGGGAGUAUCCUAUCUUGGACUCAUUCUAUCAGAUCUUUCUCUGAUUCAUCACUUUGCCUGCCCAUCAAUUAGAUGUUACUUGUUGAAGUUGGUUCUCUCCUUUUCAUAGGUCUCAAGGACUGAACUCGGGUUAUCAGACUUGGCAAUAGGCGCCAUUACCCAGUGAGCCAUCUUGCCUCGCCAAACAUUUAAUUUUACAAACAUGGUUGCUUCCUUCUACAAACUAACCUUGCCUACAUUGUUUGGGAUUAGGGGUGUGUACUAAGGGCAUGUCUAUAUUCCAGUCAGUGGGAUUAAAGGUAUGUGGACUGUCUAUAUUCCAACUGCAUCAGACAGACUUAGGUCUUUGGAUAUGAUCCCUUGCCAGAGCAGCCAUGAUGCUAGAUUAAAAUUCUUCUACAGGGCUAUGUUGACUUGUGGUGUGAGGGUUGAGGAGGUUGGGGUGUGUUGGUUUGUCAUGUGAGGAUUUACGUGGUAGGGUAUGGGUUGGUUUGCUUGUGGCUAAGGAAAAAGUCAUAAUUUUAAAGUCAUAUGGGCUUGAGGUCAAACCUUGGCAUUACUAAUAUUGACUGUGGUAUUUUAUACAAAACAUUUUGCUUUUCUAUUAGUUGGUUUCCUCAUUUGUUCUACAAUGGUUUGUUGAUUCUCUAAUAUGUUAGUAGCAGAAAGUUAGGGGAUAGUUGAGGUAGAAUUUAGGUACAAACAUACAUUUCUUUGAAGCAGGGCAUAUGGCUAUCAUUAGAGAGUGGGCGAAGGUAUUGCCAGGAGUUGCAGAUGUGCUUGUAGCAAAAGGUUUGUGGUUGAGGAAAGGAGAAACUUUGCAGCAUUGAGAGGUUGGUCCUGGAAUGAUGGGCAUGGUUGCAGUUGGUGAGAAUUAAACUAGAGUAUGCCCAUCUUAAGGUAGUAAGAUUUUUGUCUAGUGGUAGCUCUCAGCAGCUCAUACUUCUCUGGAAGGAGCUCUUGAAUAUGCACUGAGCUGUGGGAUGGGCCUAUUCUAGGAGGAUUAAUUGUAGUGACAGUAAGAGGUGGUUAAGUUCAGGAUGUGUUAGCUGAGUUCAUAUUAAGUGCCAGCCGUGGUUCUAAUUACUGUAAGUAGAGAUAUCAAAAAACAAAACAGGAGUGUCUUGAAGAGAGAAGUAAAGCAGCUGACAAGCUGUGAACUUAAGGAGUACCCCAUGUUAUGUGUGUGAGGGAAGUGCAGUGGAGGAAAUCAUGCUGUAGUUUGUAGUUAGGGUUUGAGGUGUACAUAGGUGUACAUAGAAUGACCACAAUAAGCCUUGCUGCUAAUUGAGAUGUGAGCCAGAUAUGGCAGAGAUGAAUGCAGUACCUAAGUCGAUCCAUGGUUGAAAGAAUGUUGUAGUUGAGUGGAUAGCAGUGCAGACAGAAUGUGCCGUGUUUGAUGGAGCUGGUCAUUCUUGUUUAAGUCUGACUCAGAGCUCAUGACAACAUACAUCCACUGGGAUUUUAUGAAGGAAAUUAGUUGUAUAGCAGAGAUGACAUAGGCUAGGGCACUAGCAAUCAAAGAAGUGGACUUAGGAUGUCUUGGCAGUAGGAUUUGUUAGUAGUUUGUGUGUAGGUUGGAGAAAAGGGAUAGAGUUGCAUAUGAGAGAGACUUAUGAUCUGGACAUAGCCACUUCUCAGAUGUGUAGUCAUUCUAUGUGCUAGGUGCUGUGCAUGCAGCCCAACAUAUAAGGUUCAUAGUACUAUGGCUCUUGUGUGUGAAUUGAGG